rnacentral:rRNA from 1 species
CCUACGGGUGGCAGCAGUGGGGAAUAUUGGACAAUGGGGGGAACCCUGAUCCAGCCAUGCCGCGUGUGUGAAGAAGGCCCUCGGGUUGUAAAGCACUUUCAGUGAGGAAGAACGCCUGGUGGUUAAUACCCAUCAGGAAAGACAUCACUCACAGAAGAAGCACCGGCUAACAUCCGAGCCAGCAGCCGCGGUAAUACGGAGGGUGCGAGCGUUAAUCGGAAUUACUGGGCGUAAAGCGCGCGUAGGUGGCUUGAUAAGCCGGUUGUGAAAGCCCCGGGCUCAACCUGGGAACGGCAUCCGGAACUGUCAAGCUAGAGUGCAGGAGAGGAAGGUAGAAUUCCCGGUGUAGCGGUGAAAUGCGUAGAGAUCGGGAGGAAUACCAGUGGCGAAGGCGGCCUUCUAGACUGACACUGACACUGAGGUGCGAAAGCGUGGGUAGCAAACAGGAUUAGAUACCCUGGUAGUC